rnacentral:misc_RNA from 1 species
AAGUCGUAACAAGGUUUCCGUAGGUGAACCUGCGGAAGGAUCAUUAUUGAAUAAAUCUGGCGUGAGGUUGUAGCUGGCUCUCUGGAGCAUGUGCACACCUUCGUCACCUUUAUCUUUCCACCUGUGCACACACUGUAGUCCUGGAUACCUCUCGCCGCAAGGCGGAUGCAGAGCCUGCUGUGACUUUGGCAACAAAGACCAGUCUUGCUCUGAAUUUCCAGGGUCUACGAUCUUUACACACCCCUAAACGAAUGUCAUAGAAUGUAUAUCACUGGGCCUUUGUGCCUAUAAACCUUAUACAACUUUCAACAACGGAUCUCUUGGCUCUC